AACGUCUGUGCGGAAAACUCGAGGAAUCAUCCGACUACACCUCGCCACGAUUUAUUAUUUCCACUGUUACUGUUUCCUCUUGAAUUUGUUCGCGCAGUCAGUCUAUAGAAGUAAUUUAUAAUGCAUGGAAAUUACAGUCAUUCCGCGGCAUCGACCGAGGUCAUUAACGCCUCCCCAAGAAAUUGAUACAUAAUAGAUGCUCACUUUGAGAAAAUUGCAGCCUACGUACAAUUUUUUUCCUCUGCAUAUUUUCCCUUCUUUUCAGUUUGGUCUUUUUUUUUUAGGUGCUAGAAGAGGGAGAAUUUGUCGCGACGACAGUAUUUCCGCAGACAUCGUGAGCUUGACAGCAAUACUUCCUUGGUGUGCUCCCUUAGUCAUUUUGUUCAAUGGAUUUGAGAAAGUCGAACAGCCGUCGAGGAGUAUCAACAGUUUACAAAUUCGAUUUGUAUCAGGUAGUCAUAAUAUGUGAAACAUCAGCUUCUUGCAACAAAAUAUACCUAUUCCUCAUGACAGUUAUUGUCUGAAGUGGCUCUUUUAUUCAGAAUGUCCUUAUAGUCACAAGAAUUAACAUUGCAAUCUGUUCUUCGUCCAAUGGUAUUGUUAACGUCUCAGCAAAUAAUACUGUUAUUCUUAAUUUAUUUUUGCGCUGGAUCGUUUGGCGUUUGAUUCUCUACGAAGAAACGCAAUGUAGGAUAUUAAUGCGAUAUUAGAGAUAAAGCCUUAUAUAAUACACUCGAUUGACAAUGAAUAUCGUAGAAUUGACUGAAAAUGACAAGCUUUCUAUAUUGCAGAUUUGGUGAAAGAAUAGGGGAUGAACCAGUAAUUAAAUUCAGUAGUGAUAGGUUAUGGACAUAAAUUUACGACGACAAACGAGUGAUUCGGAAAAAUAUGAAAUAAGCGAGAAACGGACAAGAGAUAUACAACAACUCAUCUGUCAAGGAAGAAAUGACUCGCAGGAUACAAGCUGGCGCACAGUUUACAAUUUCAAUUUGUACGUGCACACGGAUUGGAAUGGAAACGGAAGUUGUUCGCCUCGUUGAAACCUUUUUCUCUUCGUCUUUCUGGUUCAAGAGGAUCGCUCUUCGGAAGAUUGCCGGAUAACAUGGAAAUACCGAGCAUCACACCGCAAAUAUUUUACGAUCCGGACCGAUGACAGAACAAACAACGUGCAACGAAGAACAGGGGAAACGUCCAACAGGAAAGGGAAAUUCCCCGAGAUAUUAUAGUUUGCAGGGGUUCCUGAGGAAUGCAGCGAGAUUUGCGAGAUACGUAUGCACGCGGAGGCCUCCUUCGACGUCCUGAAGGAUCGCCAGGAAGCAUCGAAGCGAGAACCAAUCUUCACGGCAGGGCGAGCCCAAUUAUAGCGUCGACUCGUUAUCGGAUGUCAUUAACCACGGAGAGACGCGGAACGACAUCUUUCAACGGAAGAUACAACGAUUGCAACGUCGUUCCUUCCAUUGUCAAGGGUACAAGCAAAAAUGUAGGAUAAUGUAAAAACUGGAAAUCAUCCAGGAUAAUCAUCGUGAACAGAUGCAACGAUGAUUUGACAAAAGAAGAUUUUUCUUUGGUGAGAAGAAGAAAAUCGGAGAGGUGAAAGCGUGUUAACAGGAUAUUUUAAAACGGUGAAAUGGUAAAAUUUGAAAAAGCAAAAAAGAAAAAAAAUAGAAAAUGUGUAAAAUGAGAAAAAGCCACGAACAAGUUGUUGAAUCUGACAGAAUCACCGAUGGACGAAUUUAAUAUACAAUCUACACUUUUUAAUAGUAUUCUUGUAUCGCUAAUGCAUGGAGAUAUUUUUAACUAGUACUUUUACAUCUUAUUUUAAAUAAAGAGUGUAUAAAAUUUAGAAUAUUAUUUAUGAAUGUAUAAAAUGUAAUUAAGAAAGCAAAUCUGUAAGCUGCGGCAACGACCAGCUUUAUCCGAGAAGUUAAACUCCAAUCGGCGAAAUCGUCGUACCGAUCGUCAAGUAUCUGGCAGUUCCUUAACUACGAGUUUCCAAAUAGAGCAAGUCAACGGAAAGACACUACUUCGAGGUAGCUGGGCAGGUAUCAGCCGGCAGUUUCGUCUUCGUGAAAUUUGCCAAGAUAUCUAUCAUAGAUCACGGUUUAAUCAAUCUAGAGCACCGGUGAGUUCCGAUGAAACACGUUGAACCCGUGAUUCCGCUCGACUACGCAACCAUCGUGAGAGCUGGCAUGUUAUGAGAACGCGAGAUUCCGCGCAUCUUGCACGCCUAGCACUGUUUACAAACGGCACCUCGAGAACUUAAGUAUUGUUGGUGUAAAAGAUAUGGUAGAGAUCUAUAAUAAAGAUGUAAAAUUUGAAAAAUAAAAUAUAUUAGGUUGUCCGAAAAGUUUCUUUCGUUUUAUGAGAAAAUAAUAGGCGCACAACGUAUUUUGUUUUAUAUUAUGUUGUCGAAUUACGUACGAUCCAUUUUGUUCUGUUGAGAUAAACAUUGCGACAUUUCACAGACUUGCAUUGUUGUGAAAAACACGUUUGCGAAAGAAAGACAUCUUUCGGACAACCUAAUAAUGAGAAACAGGACGCUUGAGCUCUAUCAGAACUAGUUUCGCAAAGUACUUCGUGUAAAAUAUGCAAAAUUUAUCGCAGAAUAUCAUUUUAAUUUCUACAGAGUAUGCAAUGUAGAAUAUACGUAUGCAAUUUAACGUAGAAUAUUAUUCUGAUUUUAACAAAAUACUUAAUAUAGAAUAUUAUCUUAAUUCUUGUAGGGUGUUUUCUAUAUAAAAUAUAAAAUAUAAUUUAUAUUCUAUAUAAUAUAAAGCUUUGAUCUACAAUCUUGCCAUUUCUCUUUCAGCAACACUACACUCGACCAUACCAGUUUCUUGCAUGGAUCGACUAACGUAGUAAAUAGACAAAGACGAACAGAGACAGAAAAGGCAAAAGAUGCAAGGACCGGAAUUCUACGCCGACGACGACCCUCCGGAGCUAAUAGCGUGAAUUAUUCUUCGCCCAGGCGACCGACACCCUUCUCGCCAUUUCACCCGUGAUCUUAUUCUUUGAUCUGUGAAUGAAAGCUCCCUGCAACGGACCGCUUACAACACGAUUUCUCUCUGUCCUCCGGCGUUUCUGUCUUUGUACCACGAUGGAAAUGUACAAGGUGUUCUUGCGUGCCUGGGAUACGAUUCGAGGGUUGCUCUUGGGUGAAAAGGUAGAAAUGGUAGUGUUUGGAAUUCCAGGCAGUCCACACGGAAGGUGGUUUGGGUUUCAUGGAGAGAUUUUUUGCUUGUCAUGAGCGAAGCUCUAAAUUCUUGCGACAGAAGCAAGUGUUUUAAUGUAAGUAGGAAUAUUAAAGAUUUAACCUGGUGGAAUUAAAUUAAUUGAAGAAUUCUUUUUAUUUUCCUCCGAAGCUAGUGUAAUAUCGUAAGGUAGUUUGAAUUAGAAAUCGGUUGAAAAUAGAAAAGCCGCGUACGUCGUCUUUCUGUGGUUCGUUUACAUUUAAGAGUACCUACAUGACUAAAGGCACGUAGUUGGUAGUUCUUAGAUAGGUAUGAGGAAAACAAUAGACAACGUUAGAAGAAGGACGGUUUCGCUAUCCAAGGCCGGACGACCGAAAGAUCAGAAUGUGCGAGUCGAAAAGUGUGCGUGUUGCGAGAAUCAGAGCUAAUCGAGUCGUCGAAGAGUAGAGUCGUUAGACACCGAAGAGUAGAGUCGAGAGAAUUGGUAGAGUUGUUGGAGAGAGAGAGAGAGUGUGUGUUAGAUUCGUUGUGACGAGAGUGGCCAAAUAACUGUAAAGUUAUUUGAUAUAGAUACGAGUAUUGCAUUUAGUUUCCGUUAAAUAAAUAUCGUUUUCUGUCCAAUUUAUAUUUGUAUAUUCAAUUUAAUAUUAAUAAACUGUAAGCAAUCGGGAAAAAAAUUCUAUCUUUAUUUUCCGAUAUUACACUAGAUAUGUGUUUUUCAACUCGUCUCAAAAUUUUGCACAUUCGACUAUAUCAGAGAAUCUACAAAAUUCCUGCGUGUGUCUUGUACGCGACACAAAUAAGAACAUCCCACACUUUGAUCAUCGAAAUACGUUUUACAGAUCAUCGAAAUACAGUUUAAACGCAUCUCGUACAC